GACGAACGCUGGCGGCGUGCCUAAUACAUGCAAGUAGGACGCAGUUGCGAACGGGUGAGUAACGCGUAGGUAACUGCCUAUUAGAGGGGGAUAACUAUUGGAAACGAUAGCUAAUACCGCAUACUAGUAGAUGGACCUGCGUUGUAUUAGCUAGUAGGUAGGGUAAUGGCCUACCUAGGCGACGAUACAUAGCCGACCGUAGAGGGUGAUCGGCCAAACAGGGACCGGGACACGGGCCAGAAUCCUACGGGGGGCAGCAGUAGGGAAUUUUCGGAAAAGGGGGGAAACCUGAACGAGCAACGCCGGGUGAGUGAAGAAGGUUUUCGGAGCGGAAAGCUCUGUUGUUAAGGAAGCGGUACUUAACCAGAAAGGGACGGCUAACUACGUGCCAGCAGCCGCGGUAAUAC
rnacentral:rRNA from 1 species